GUUUUAUUGUUUAUAUAAUAAAUAUGGCCUGCCCAAUGAAAAGUUUAAUGGCUGCAGUAUUUUGACUGUACAAAGGUAGCAUAAUCAUUUGUCUCUUAAUUGGAGUCUGGAAUGAAUGGUUGGAUGAAAAAUUUACUUUCUUUAUUUUAUAUAUAGAAUUUAAUAUUUAUAUCAAAAAGUAUAAAUUUUAUUAAAGGACGAGAAGACCCUUUAGAACUUUACUUAUAUAUAAUUAAUUAUUUUUUUGAUAAUAAUUAUUAUUUAUUUUUAUAUAAGUUUUGUUGGGGUGACAAAAAAAAUUGAAUAACUUUUUUUAUUUAUUUCACUUAUAUGUGAUUUUUUGAUCCUUUAUUAAAGAUGGAAGACUAAGUUACCUUAGGGAUAACAGCGUUAUUAUUUUAGAGAGUUCAUAUUGAUAAAAUAGUUUGCGACCUCGAUGUUGGAUUAAAAUAAAUUCUAGGAGUAGAAGAUUAGAUAUUAGGUCUGUUCGACCUUUAAAUUUUUACGUGAUCUGAGUUCA
rnacentral:rRNA from 1 species